rnacentral:rRNA from 1 species
GUAGGGAAUCUUGCGCAAUGGGCGAAAGCCUGACGCAGCAACGCCGCGUGGGGGAUGAAGGCUUUCGGGUUGUAAACCCCUUUCAGCAGGGACGAUCGUGACGGUACCUGCAGAAGAAGGACCGGCCAACUACGUGCCAGCAGCCGCGGUAAUACGUAGGGUCCGAGCGUUGUCCGGAUUUAUUGGGCGUAAAGAGCUCGUAGGCGGCUCAGUUAGUCGGAUGUGAAAACUCGGGGCUCAACCCCGAGACGCCAUCCGAUACUGCUGUGGCUUGAAUCUGGUAGGGGAGCACGGAAUUCCUGGUGUAGCGGUGAAAUGCGCAGAUAUCAGGAGGAACACCGGUGGCGAAGGCGGUGCUCUGGGCCAGUAUUGACGCUGAGGAGCGAAAGCGUGGGUAGCAAACAGGAUUAGAAACCCUGGUAGUCC